UGGAGGAGCAGACAAGCCACAAUAGGUGCUCUCCCUACACUUCCUCAAUAUUUUGCCUAAUAUCUCGUGUUUUCUAAGUGUUUUGAUGUGUUUCUAGGCUCAGGCGUGUAGAUGGGAGCAGUAGAAGAAAGAAAAAAAGGAAGAAGAAAGGAAAAAUGGAAGUGGAAGAAGAGGAGGAGCCAAACCACAAUAUUUAGGGCACUGUCCCCAAGAAACCGUCCAGUGCGCUCGCCUCAAUUCCCGGCCUCCCCUUCGCAGCUCCUCCACCCGCCUGAUUUGACGUCACAUAAAAUGACAAAUGUCCGCAGAAAACGACACGCCGAUUUAUUUGAAGUGAAGGACAGAGAUUAAAACGGCCUUGAAAAACACCACACCUGUUUUGUCCACCGCCAUCACCACCUUCUCCCAGAUCAAGGACAAACUGUAUUACAGACUCACACAUAAGGAAGAGGUGCGUGUGAGUGUGUUUGGGUGUGUUUGGAUGCGUUUGGGUGUGUUUUGGGUCUGUUUGGGUGUGUUUUGAGGUGUUUU